AGUCAAAGUCAUAGUCAUAUACAUUUUCGAGACAAAGGAUGGUACGUCAAAAUGACACACUGAUAUUUUACAUAAAGUUCACUAAAGAUACAUAGUCCAGACCUGCAUGUACAAGGGGAGAAGUAGGUCACUAUGACCCCUUACAGGAUUAGGAAAGGAAAAAUUAAUCUUCUAAGAAGUUAUGUUACUGGUAUCAGAAGGAGAAAAAGAAAACAUUGAUCUUUAUGGUGGAGCAGUCAUUUCCACCUUUGAGGAGGUCUGGUUAAUGUAUAAUGCAAAUGCACACAGCACUUUAGGGCUGGCCUAAUAGGGGCAAGGAAUAUGUUAUGCUUAAAAUUUCUUGUCCUGCCUUAAGACAUAGCUUUUAUUCCAUCACUGUUUUUCAAAUUUUUGUAAUACAAAGAAAAGGAUAGUCAUUCUCUUUCCAUCAAUGCCCUGUUAAAACUCUAAGUUGCCAAAAGUAGUCAAGAUACAAAUAAGUUUUGGGAAUAAGGCAAAUAAGACACUUGAACAUUAAGCACAACAGUACCAUAAAAGAAAGUAUCUGUGACCAACAGAAUUUAUCUCAGGAAAGGGAAAAGAGCAAAUUUCAAAAAUGCAUAAUGUACGAAAAUACACACAAAAUAAGAAAAUGAUUAUCAAGAAAAGCACUCAUUUCUCAGAGGUGACCCUACUGCAGCCUUAGUGAGCAACCUGUUGUUGUUGUUUUUUUUAACCAAAUUAGGCACAUAUGAGCAUAAUAUUAUAGGAACAUCUUUUAACUAAAUUACAUAUAUUGAGCACGUAUCUGGUCAAUAUUAUUUCACAUCAAUCAUUUUUUUCUAUGACAAUGAUUGUUAAAGUUUGGUCCUAUUCAUACAGUGAAAAAAGGAAUACAGCCAUCAAGAAGUUAGUGCAAUUUAAGUGAACAAAGGCAUAAAGGUUCAGCAGCUUUCCUAGGAAGCUUUCGUCCCCGCCCACGCCUGGGAACCCCCUUCACCGGGCCGCUCAGCCUCCUCAGAGUGCUGUUGGUGUGGACUGGGCUCGGGGCCAGCGGAGGGGGCGGCGGGCACAGUUUAGCGGGUGCUAAAGAUCUCUCCUCGCUGCUCCCCAGGCCCCGGCGCCACCGACGCAGCUCCCUUGGCGCGUCCUCCGGCCUAGCUCCACGUCGCUUGCGGAAUCCUCCACAGUCCUGCGUCUGGGCGCGUCCUCCUGCCUUGCUUGGCUGGAUCUGGAGGCGUCUUCCGGCGCAGCUCUGCCAGAGCGGCUAUGGAGGCGCGGGUCUGGGCGCAUCCUCAGCCGCCCAGGACGAGUCUGCUGGCGUGCUCCGAUGCCUGCGUCUUGGGGGACAGAUGCAGCCGGGAUCUAGGCACGUCUCCCGUGAGAUCCCAGCCUCCAUCCAUCAUCCCAGCCUCCUCCAUCAUCCUCCAUUGUGGAGUUUCUGUCCACAGGGGAGAAACUGUUCAGCCUGGGGCCCAUCUGUCUCCUGCUUCAGGCCCUGUGCUGAGGAAUCAGUGACGAACAAACACUGAUACAUUCCCUACGCUGGAGGAGCUUACGUCCAUGCAGUAGAUAUGUGCAACUAUUAUAAAACUAAUUCCUGGAAAUGAAGCUACUUGCUGAAGAAAGUUUAUCUAAUACAUACUCCCACCUGUAAUAAAGGAGAAUGUGCACUUCCUCACGACUUGUACACCAGCUCAUUUAUAAACAAAGUGUGAUCUAAUUGCUGUUUUACAACAUUGAGAACCCAGUGUGCAAGGGCCUUUACUUACACAGCUGGAAUUGACAUUUAAUUUAUUCCUCACAACAACCACAUGAGGUUGGAAAGUCCAAGAUCAAGGUGCCAGCAGAUCCUGUGUCUGGUGUGCUUUUGCCUUUUGGUUUGGGAAGAAGACCAUCUUCCUAUUGUAUCCUCACACGGUGUAGAGAAGAGAGGGGAAGCAAACUCUCUCAUGUCUCUUUUAUAAGGGCUCUAAUCCCAACAUGAGGGCUUCACCCUCAAGACCUAAUUACCUCCCAAUGGCCCCAUCUCCAAAUACCAUCAUAUUGGGGAUUAAUAUUUCAACAUACAAAUUCUGGGGGAUACAUUCAGUCCCUAGCUCUAAUGAGCCACCCUGGUUGGCAACACAUUGCACAUAUUGUCACACAUCUUUACAGGAGGAAUUAAACCUCCUGCAACUUCACUUGGAGAGAACGCUUGGAAGCUGUGCCUGGAUUCCUCCAAAGUCCCCCACCUGCCCAUGUGCCUUUUCCCUCUUCUGACUUUCCUUUGCUGACUUUCCUUUGUAUCCUUUAUUGUAAUAAAC